rnacentral:rRNA from 1 species
UUGCUCACAGGCACAUCAUAUCCAUAACACCUGUGCACUUGUCGGAUGGCUUAGUGAAGACCGCAAGGUUGGAUCUAUCCAUCUACUUUACAUAACAAUUCUGUAACAAAUGUAGUCUUAUUAUAACAUAAUAAAACUUUCAACAACGGAUCUCUUGGCUCUCGCAUCGAUGAAGAACGCAGCGAAAUGCGAUAAGUAAUGUGAAUUGCAGAAUUCAGUGAAUCAUCGAAUCUUUGAACGCACCUUGCGCUCCUUGGUAUUCCGAGGAGCAUGCCUGUUUGAGUGUCAUGAAAACCCUCAACCCUAGAUUGGUUAAAACCUUUCUUUGGUUUGGAUUUGGACGUUUGCCGAUGAUAAGUCGGCUCGUCUUAAAAGUAAUAGCUGGAUCUGUCUCGCGACAUGGUUUGACUUGGCGUAAUAAGUAUUUCGCUAAGGACAUCUUCGGAUGGCCGCGUUGCAGGACUAAAGACCGCUUUCUAAUCCAUUGAUCUUACGAUUAAUAUUCUUGACAUCUGGCCUCAAAUCAGGUAGGACUACCCGCUGAACUUAAGCAUAUCAAUAAGCGGAGGA